rnacentral:lncRNA from 1 species
UGAUAUCCACUGUAAAUCAAGUCCGGCAACCCUGCACUUGCAACAUAACAUGUGUCUCUAGGCUGCGUGCAUAAGGGAAUAUGCAAAUUUCAACAGGAGAAAAAGAUAACAUGAGUUGUUAGUGGAAAUCAUGCAUGUUAAAAGGUAUCAUAUUACCAACAAUCCAUGCUUAAAAGAACAUGCGUUUUCUCUAAGGCAAAUCUAUAUCGGUUUGUUUACAUACCCAUCAAUACAAAACUGAAAUGGUGAUCCUAUGCAUGUUAAAAGCUUGCAUUACCAACCAUCCAUGCUUAACAAACAUGCCUUUUUCUCAAAGGGAAAUCAAUAUCAGUUUGUUUAUGUACCCAUCACUACAACAAACUCAAAAACUGUAGCGAUCAUCAUCAAGAUAAAGAAUUGUUCAAAGUUGAAUUAGAUGAUGAUACCAAACUAACAAUUUCGAAGGCAACAUUGAGAAAAAUACAAUAAAAAGGCAAAACAGGGUCAUGCAUAACCAACACAAAAAGGGAGCCUAUACCAUUACUCUUUUACCUGCCACUACCAAACAAAGUAAAACAUUCCAAUCUAAUAAGUGAUGAAACUAAACUACCAAUGCCUGUUGAAUCGAGUAGCAAGGAAAGCCCAAUGCCCCAUAAAAUAAGGUUUUAGGUUGUGUCCUGCCUUGCCUCCUAAAAUGAAGUCCUACCCGACUCGACUUUGAAUUUAGUCAUGACCCUUGUCACUUCACAAUACCAAAGGUCAAACAACCCCCCCCCCCCAAAAAAAAAAACCAAAAUAGAACACUAAACUAAAUAGCUAAAUUCCUGAAAUGAGAUUCGACCCAACUCGACUUUGAAUUUAGCUAAGACCCUUAUGACUUCAAGAUACCAAAGGUCAGUGACCCCCACUCCCAAAUAAAACACUAAACUAAACUGAUGGUAGCUAAAUUCUCGACAUAAGGUCCGACCCGACUCGAAUCCAAAUUAUACAAUUAAAAAACGUCUCUUUCUUCAUCAAAUACGCUAUACUAGUAAUCAAGAAUUAGUGGCUAAAAGAACAUAUAAAGAAAGCUUCCCUCCACAACCCAUACAUCAAAUUUUUGAGUAAAUUACAGGGAAUUUAUAAGAACCUGAGUGCAAGAUCGGCCAAAGACGCGAAGGGUGGGUCUGGUCCAAGGGAUGUGAUUGUCGAGGUAAUUGAAGAAUUCCCAGGCGACAUCAUAUGCUAAAAACCUGGGAACGUAAAUUACACUGCUUCCGUU